CCUACGGGUGGCAGCAGUGAGGAAUAUUGGUCAAUGGGCGAGAUCCUGAACCAGCCAAGCCGCGUGAGGGAAGACGGCCCUAUGGGUUGUAAACAUCUUUUGUCGGAGAACAAAACCCGGGACGUGUCCCAGUCUGCGUGUAUCCGAAGAAACAGCAUCGGCUAACUCCGUGCCAGCAGCGGCGGUACGACGGGGGAUGCGAGCGUUAUCCGGAUUUGUUGGGUUUAAAGGGUGCGUAGGCGGUCCGUUAAGUCAGCGGUAAAAUUGCGGGGCUCAACCCCGUCGAGCCGUUGAAACUGGCAGACUUGAGUUGGCGAGAAGUACGCGGAAUGCGCGGGGUAGCGGUGAAAUGCAUAGAUAUCGCGCAGAACUCCGAUUGCGAAGGCAGCGUACCGGCGCCAGACUGACGCUGAGGCACGAAAGCGUGGGGAUCGAACAGGAUUAGAUACCCUUGUAGUC
rnacentral:rRNA from 1 species